rnacentral:rRNA from 1 species
UACGAAGGGGGCAAGCGUUGUUCGGAUUUACUGGGCGUAAAGGGCGCGUAGGCGGUCGUGACAAGUCACUUGUGAAAUCUCCGGGCUUAACUCGGAAAGGUCAAGUGAUACUGUCGGACUAGAGUACAGAAGGGGCAACUGGAAUUCUCGGUGUAGCGGUGAAAUGCGCAGAUAUCGGGAGGAACACCGGUGGCGAAGGCGGAUCUCUGGGCCUGACCUGGACGCUGAGGAGCGAAAGCGUGGGGAGCGAACAGG